GAGCCCCAGUUGCUUGCGCUGUCCAGAAAAAUUACCGUGAUGACAGUAACGAGAGCUUACAUUUAGAGAGUGCUUGCUAUGUGCUAGGCACUGUACAUACAUUUCCUCAUUGGAUCCUCACCAUGUAUCUAUGUUGAUAGGCACGGCAGUCUCCAUUACACAGGUAAGAAAACGGGGGCUCAGAACAGGAGAGUGACUUGCCCGAAGUCACACAGCUAUGAAAUGUCUGAGCUUGAUUCAAACUAGGUUUUUCUGACUGCAGAGUCCUUGUUCACCUUAGAGACUUUCUGGCCCUGCACCAUCCACUAGAAAUAUAAUGCAAGCCACAUUUGUAAUUACCAAUUUUCUAGUAGCCAUAUUUUUAAAAGUAAGAAAAAAAUAGAUGAAAAUAAUUUUAAUAAUAAAUUUUAUUUAACCCAGUAGAUCCAAAAUGUUACCACUUCAACACAUAUUAUCAAAAUUCAUUAAUGAAAUGUUUUACAUUCUUUUUCUCAUACUGUCUUUGAAAUCUGGUGUGUAUUUUAUACCUACAGCACAUCUCUAUUCAGAUACCAAAUUUUCACUGGAAACCUUUGAUUGGUAUUUAGAUUUCAUAAAGUUUCCAGUUGAAAAAAUUAGAUUCCCAUAAUCAGGUAUUUCCAAAUGUACUAAGGUUUUCCAAUAACUGAAUUAUCAGUUUUUAAAUUAAAAUCCAUUAAAAUGGAAUUAAAUUCAGUUCCUCAUUCACACCGCUUGCAUAUCACAUGCUCAGUAGCCACAUGUGGUUAGUAGCUACUGCAGUAGACUAAGCAGUUCUAAUCAAGGUCCCACACGAAACUGAGGCCCACAUAGAUUCACGUAACAAGCCAGAGCCAGAGCUUGUUCUAGAAACCUGGGGAAAUGCAGGUAAGCAGAGAUAUUCCAGCUUUGCCCACCUCAAUCUGCCUGCCCAUUCGUCAAUCCACUGUUCAUUUUUUUUUUUUUUUUUUUUGCGGUACGCGGGCCUCUCACUAUUGUGGCCUCUCCCGUUGCGGAGCACAGGCUCCGGACGCGCAGGCUCAGCAGCCAUGGCUCAUGGGCCCAGCUGCUCUGCGGCAUGUGGGAUCUUCCCGGACUGGGGCACGAACCCGUGUCCCCUGCAUCAGCAGGCGGACUCUCAACCAUUGCGCCACCAGGGAAGCCCCCACUGUUCAUUUGAGAAAUACAUAGUGCACACCUACUUUGUGCUAAUCCUUGGGUCCAGGAGCUGAUUUGCUGGGAGCAAGACUGACAGGCCCCCUUGCACGGGGAAAGCAAUUCAGCAGAAGCUCUCACAAUCAAAUGUGUGAUUGGGUAGACUCAUGGAAAUACCAGAGAGGACAGCGGGGACCUGACCUGCUCUGGGGGUGAGGGCAGGUUUCUCUCAGGAGGAGACCUGAAGCUGAUGUCCUUCUGAAGGAGCAGGCUAAAAAUCAGCUGCUGUUGCAAUAAUGCUGUGGACCAAAACAACUCCGGACUCUGUGGCCACAGCAACAAGCAUUUAUUUUCAUGCUUCUGGGGCUGCAUGUUGACUGCAGUUUGACCAUUAGAAGCUGGGCUUGGCUGGGUGGCUUUGGUCCAGGCUGUGGGUUGGGCUCAGGCCUACUCUAUGAUUUUCCUUCUGGAGCCCAGGAUGAAGGGGCAUCAGCUCCCAGGGCAUGUUCUCAUGGCAAUUCACUGGAGUUCAAAGACAAGCAAAGUGCACAAGCACAUUUAUAUCCUCUGCAUUUUGUCCGCUCUCAUUCCGUUGGCCAAAACAAGUCAUUUGGCUGAGGCUGAAUCAGUGGGGAAGGAGGAGGGGAAGAAGAAAUUGCUCUGUAACUGUUAGAACUGUCAGCAACCAGUAGGAGUUAGUCAGGUAGGAGGGGGAAUGGCAUCCCAGAUGACAGAUUCCCAAGGUGGGAUGGAACAUGAGCCUUCCAAGCUCCUGGAGAUCUGGACGGGGCAGGGGGUGUUGUUUUUAUCACCUUCAUUGCCCAAGACACAACGCUGUCUGAGACUCCACAAUAUGGCAGCUGAAAGGACCCUUGUUGUUGGAAUGUAGUGGGUGAUGGGUUGGGAGGUUGGAAAUGGUCCCUGGCCCUCACAUGGGCUGAUGUGUGUGGGAAAGGAUAGUAGGGAUGUUGGGAGUGGCUGGUGUGUGUGUGUGUGUGUGUGUGUGUGUGUGUGUGUGUGUGUGUGUGUGUAUAGGUGGGGGCAGCAUAACACGCACCAGAGAACAUCCCUCAUGCCCAUUCCAUGGGCAAUCAGAACUGGCAAGGGGUAGCUCUGACAUCUGACUUGCUGCCUCCUGCUCUGGCCACAAAAGGGGAAGGUGACAUCUCCUUCUGGGGCCACUAGGGGAAGAUCCAGAUUUGAAAGAGCACAGUUCUAAGAGGCCAAGAGACCUGGGUUGAAAUCCCGGCUCCUCUCUGACUCCCACAUUGGAAGCUCUAAAAAUGGCUUCCUUCCAGCUCUAGAAUCCCUCUCUCCUGUGAUUCUAGGAGGACAAUACCGAGGCUGAAGAGGGAAGGGCCAUGUUGAAAUGAUAAGUAGGACCUGAAAUAGAGAAUUGAUGUGUCAGGAAGGACAGGGUCCAUGCUUGGGGUCACUGUGGAGAGUGAAUGGGUGUUGUCUGACCUUGGUAGCGUGGGUGGGAGGCUUCCCUCCUCAAUAUAACUCCUAUUGUGAUGGAGGUUCGGCCACCAUGGUGGGGCUCUGUGUGGCACAGGUGGCACCCCACCCCCGGCCGAGUUAGGUCAGAACAUCUUCCCCUUGUAGUAAAAACUUUGACAGGAAACCUGAAUAUUUCUCCAACUGGAGUCUUUAGAUCUCAGAGUUUCCAGGAACUUGUCUCUAGAGUCUAAAAGUUUUCCAGGAAUUCUGAAAUUUUGUAUUUUCGGUGCUGAUUAUUGCCUGAAAAGACCAGAGCACAUUCUAGAUUACCUGGAGAACCACAGUAAAAAACAAGAGCCAUAAUACAAUUCUUGGGCUGUGUUUGCCUUUGUAUAUUUGACUCAAUUGGCACCCAGCAGUCAUGUAAAGAGAUGCUGUGGAAUUUAUUGUGGUAUGUCUCAAACUCCUGAAAUCUGGGUUUGUUUUUUCCUCACUGCCCCAAGCCAUCGCACUGGCCCAGGACUCCACAAUCUCUGGACAACUGCCACAGCCUCCUCAAUACUCUACUGAUUUGUCUUCCCACCCUCCUACCCUCAGUGCAGUAUAUUUUCUACAUAGCAGCCACUUUAUAUGCAAAGAAAGUGGAAGUCAGCAGGGGGGACUGACUUGGCCAUGGCUAUCAUGGUAAGCAUCGGAGCCUUAAUGUGAACCAGCCAGUCUGACUUUGAAUUAGUCAGUCAGUGUUAAGAAUAGGACUUUGGGAUCAGACUGACCUGUGGGUGGAUCCCAGUUCUGCCAUACCCUAGUUAUGUGAGCAUCAGCACUCGACUACCUUUUUGUAUUUUCAGUUUUCUCACCUGUAACUUGGGCCAAUAAUAACCUCAUAGAGUUCUAAUGAGGUGUCGAAGAGGCCAGUUGUAGCAGGGGUUGUCAGGCCGCCCAGAGCCUUGGUAAUUCAGAAUGCUGGAGUCAGUGGCUGCAUUUUAUUGAUAGAGGGCUUUCUCCCAAACCACAGCCUUCCCUGCAUAGGCAGAGUAGAAGCACUGAGGAAUUAACACAUGUAGGAGUAUACUUCCACCAUGGCUGGUAGUAUAUAACUACCCCAGCUUCCUCUCCAUUUGGGUGAAAUAAUUCUGAGGUCUGUGUCUUACACUGUUUCUUAGAGCUCCCCAACAGAAUGAAGACCCAGAUGCCCACCUGGCUUGAUAACACCCUCCUUAUUGGCUGUCUCCCCUGUCUCAUUCCCUGAGUUACCUUAUCAGCGUCUCCUGUGAUCACCUGCCUGCACUCAAGUCCUUUUUUCAAGGUCUGCUUCUGGGGAACCCAAACUAAUACAUAAAGCAGUCAUUUGUUCAUUCAACAAGUAUUUAUUAAGGCCUCCUAUGAAUCAGACUCUGUGCUACGUCCUGGGGAUAUUGCCGUGAACAUGACAGAAUGUGUUGCUCCUCUCAGGGAGCUGAAUAUCUAGGAAAUAGGCAAUGGCAAAUAAACAAAAAAUGCUAUCAUUUUGGAUAGUGACAAAUACUGAGAAGAAAAUGAUGUGAUAGUGAUGGGAGCCUUUUACAUGGGGUAGUCAGAGAGGGCCUCUCUGGAGAGCUGAAGGAUGAGAAGGCACCAGCCUUGAAACAAUUUGGGGGAACAUUCCAGAGAGAAUGUUCAAAGUACAAAGGCUCUGAGAUAAACAUGUGCUUGGGGUAUUGAAGGAGCAAAAUAAAAUUGUGUAGUUG
ensembl:lncRNA